rnacentral:rRNA from 1 species
GAUGAACGCUGGCGGCGUGCCUAAUACAUGCAAGUCGAGCGAAUGGAUUAAGAGCUUGCUCUUAUGAAGUUAGCGGCGGACGGGUGAGUAACACGUGGGUAACCUGCCCAUAAGACUGGGAUAACUCCGGGAAACCGGGGCUAAUACCGGAUAACAUUUUGAACCGCAUGGUUCGAAAUUGAAAGGCGGCUUCGGCUGUCACUUAUGGAUGGCCCCGCGUCGCAUUAGCUAGUUGAUGAGGUAACGGCUCACCAAGGCAACGAUGCGUAGCCGACCUGAGAGGGUGAUCGGCCACACUGGGACUGAGACACGGCCCAGACUCCUACGGGAGGCAGCAGCAGGGAAUCUUCCGCAAUGGACGAAAGUCUGACGGAGCAACGCCGCGUGAGUGAUGAAGGCUUUCGGGUCGUAAAACUCUGUUGUUAGGGAAGAACAAGUGCUAAUUGAAUAAGCUGGCACCUUGACGGUACCUAACCAGAAAGCCACGGCUAACUACGUGCCAGCCGCCGCCGUAA